CAUAUCCAAACCAAACGGCUGAAACAGUUCAUUUGAGGGCUGAGUGAAAGGGAAGACUUUGCUGCCACUGUCUGCACUGAAGAAGUUGAGAUUACCAGUACUGCCAAACUGUCACCCGACUUGUGCUGCUGCAGAGGACAGCCUCCUGAUCUCAGGCUUCAGUAGGGAUUCAACAACCAAGAAUUCUAAAUCCUGGAGAUGUUGGAUGAGUGUCGGCAGCCUAUCACUCAAAGAAGCUGCAGCAGAGAGGACCACUCGGCGCCGAGCUGCUGUCCCUCGACUUGGAAUAUAAUUAACAGUUGCUUUUGGGAAAGUCAGAAUUCAGAAAAAGCAGCUGUGUGUGUUGACUGCAUCAGAUUUUGCCUUGUCUGUUUCUACAGGGUUCUUAAAUAAAAUUUCCUACUACUCA